ACGAACGCUGGCGGCGUGCUUAACACAUGCAAGUCGAACGGAAAGGCCCCUUUGGGGGUACUCGAGUGGCGAACGGGUGAGGAACACGUGAGUAACCUGCCCUUGACUUCGGGAUAACUUCAGGAAACUGGGGCUAAUACCGGAUAGGAAUCCUUGCUGCAUGGUGGGGGUUGGAAAGCUUCGGCGGUUUUGGAUGGACUCGCGGCUUAUCAGCUUGUUGGUGGGGUAGUGGCUUACCAAGGCUUUGACGGGUAGCCGGCCUGAGAGGGCGACCGGCCACAUUGGGACUGAGAUACGGCCCAGACUCCUACGGGAGGCAGCAGUGGGGAAUAUUGCACAAUGGGCGGAAGCCUGAUGCAGCAACGCCGCGUGCGGGAUGACGGCCUUCGGGUUGUAAACCGCUUUCAGCAGGGGCGAAGCUUGUGGUGACGGUACCUGCAGAAGAAGCACCGGCUAACUACGUG
rnacentral:rRNA from 1 species